rnacentral:lncRNA from 1 species
AGGCGAAAUGCUUGCUGGCAUCAAUCAAUCAACUGCUACGGUGGCAACAUGUCAUACUCGUUUGGUCCAAACAGCAUCAGAUACAUGGGCUACACAUACUGAGACAGCGCUUGGUGGAAUGUAUGCGUUGCGGAACCAAUGUCACGCAUGGUGCUAUGUCCGGGGAGGUGUUUCACUCUAGGACGGCUCGACUUGUUUAUUUCCGUUGCAGAAAGGAAGUAGCUCGUUGGGUCUUGUGGAGGUGACCGAAUGGCAGAUUUAUUCUGUCAAUCUUGAGUUAGUUGUCUCCCAGAGUCUUAGGAAACACCGAUUCUUUUAUUUUCAUUUUGAAAAACAUACCGUUAGCACCAUGGGAGCUCACCUCGCGCGGCGGUAUAUCACCGAGAGGGAGACCGAGCCUGACCCUGCGAAACCAUUUGGCUUUGACCCCGAAUUCGGCUUCGAUGAGAGGAAAGAGAGAGAUGGUGGCCACCCAGGCCCAGAUGAACCUGGCCCAGGUACCUGUACUCCAGAGAGACUACUGCGCCCACCACCUCAUCAAGCUCAUGAAGUGUAAGAGGGACAACUGGCCCAACUUCCUGGCCUGUAAACACGAGAGACACGACUGGGACUACUGCGAGCACCAGGACUACGUGAUGCGUAUGAAGGAGUAUGAGCGGGAGCGACGGCUGCAGAUGAGGAAGAAGAGGGUGGAGGAAGCCCAGGCAGCUUGAGCUUCAUCAUCGUGGCCUCUAACCCCCCCAACCCCUCUGUGUACAUACCUGCUGCUCUCCACAAUAAAGACCUUUUUGAGCUCCACUACUCUACCACUGGGCCAUCUGUCUCUGUUUGUUUCCUGCUACGUUACGAGCCUGGGAACCAAACGUGGAGGGACCUACCCCAAUUUGUCCAAUAGAAACACUUAUUUGUGUUGAAUACACCCCAGGUAGGAGGGGUGUGCAUCAUAGCAGGGUCUGAGCCAGCUAUCUGACAGUGGGUUGUCGACAAUGCUGCUUUUAAAGGCGACGUUUGUGUUUGUAGUAGAGAUCUCAUUCACAGUGAACGCUGCAUAUGUCGGCUCAAUCGGAAAAUUGCCUUUAAAAGCGGCAUUGUUGACAACCCGCGGUCUAACUGAAUCCCGGCCAAACAUUCAAUCAGAUCGCGUGCCAACCAGCGUUGGCCGGAUCCACAGAGCUGAUGGAGGUGUAACUGCAGCAGGAGCUGACAAAUCAGAGGCUGCUAUUGACAAACCCCUUGUUAUCUGUGCUGUGUUAGAAGUUCAAAACAGAGUUAGACAGUGUAGGCUCUUUCAGGGUCAAGAAUAAUGACUCUGUCAAACCAUUGAUGUUAGGCUAAGGCAUGUUUUCAUUUGAAUGAG